rnacentral:rRNA from 1 species
GCAUAUCAAUAAGCGGAGGAAAAGAAACUAACAAGGAUUCCCCUUAGUAACUGCGAGUGAAGCGGGAAAAGCUCAAAUUUAAAAUCUGGCGUCUUCGGGCGUCCGAGUUGUAGUUUAGAGAAGCGUUUUCCGCGCCGGACCGUGUACAAGUCUCCUGGAACGGAGCGUCAUAGAGGGUGAGAAUCCCGUCUUUGACACGGACUACCGGUGCUCUGUGAUGCGCUCUCGAAGAGUCGAGUUGUUUGGGAAUGCAGCUCAAAAUGGGUGGUGAAUUCCAUCUAAAGCUAAAUAUUGGCGAGAGACCGAUAGCGAACAAGUACCGUGAGGGAAAGAUGAAAAGCACUUUGGAAAGAGAGUUAAACAGUACGUGAAAUUGUUGAAAGGGAAACGCUUGAAGUCAGUCGCGUUCGCCGGGACUCAGCCUUGCUUCGGCUCGGUGUACUUCCCGGUGUACGGGCCAGCAUCACUUUUGAUCGUCGGAAAAGGGCGAGGGAAAGGUGGCACCUUCGGGUGUGUUAUAGUCCCUUGUCGUAUACGAUGGUUGGGAGUGAGGAACUCAGCACGCCUUACGGUCGGGGUUYGCCCACGUUCGUGCUUAGGAUGCUGGCGUAAUGGCUUUAAACGACCCGUCUUGAAACACGGACCAAGGAGUCUAACAUGCCCGCGAGUGUUCGGGUGGAAAACCCGUGCGCGUAAUGAAAGUGAAAGUUGGGACCUCUAUCGUGGAGGGCACCGACGCCCGGACCAGACCUUCUGUGACGGUUCUGCGGUAGAGCGUGUAUGUUGGGACCCGAAAGAUGGUGAACUAUGCCUGAAUAGGGUGAAGCCAGAGGAAACUCUGGUGGAGGCUCGUAGCGAUUCUGACGUGCAAAUCGAUCGUCAAAUUUGGGUAUAGGGGCGAAAGACUAAUCGAACCAUCUAGUAGCUGGUUCUGC